rnacentral:rRNA from 1 species
UACAGGGGGUGCAAACGUUGCUCGGAAUCAUUGGGCGUAAAGCGCACGUAGGCGGUUCGUUAUGUCGGAUGUGAAAGCCCUUGGCUUAACCGAGGAAGUGCAUCCGAAACUGGCGAGCUAGAGUACUAAAGAGGAUCGCGGAAUUCCCGGUGUAGUGGUGAAAUGCGUAGAUAUCGGGAGGAACACCAGUGGCGAAGGCGGCUUUCUGGCCUGCUCUUGACGCUGAGGCGCGAAAGCUAGGGUAGCAAACGGG